rnacentral:rRNA from 1 species
AGAGUUUGAUCCUGGCUCAGGACGAACGCUGGCGGCGUGCUUAACACAUGCAAGUCGAACGGAAAGGCCCUUCGGGGUACUCGAGUGGCGAACGGGUGAGUAACACGUGGGUGAUCUGCCCUGCACUUUGGGAUAAGCCUGGGAAACUGGGUCUAAUACCGAAUAUGACCAUGCGCCUCCUGGUGUGUGGUGGAAAGCUUUUGCGGUGUGGGAUGGGCCCGCGGCCUAUCAGCUUGUUGGUGGGGUAAUGGCCUACCAAGGCGACGACGGGUAGCCGGCCUGAGAGGGUAACCGGCCACACUGGGACUGAGAUACGGCCCAGACUCCUACGGAAGGCAGCAGUGGGGAAUAUUGCACAAUGGGCGCAAGCCUGAUGCAGCGACGCCGCGUGAGGGAUGACGGCCUUCGGGUUGUAAACCUCUUUCAGCACAGACGAAGCGCAAGUGACGGUAUGUGCAGAAGAAGGACCGGCCAACUACGUGCCAGCAGCCGCGGUAAUACGUAGGGUCCGAGCGUUGUCCGGAAUUACUGGGCGUAAAGAGCUCGUAGGUGGUUUGUCGCGUUGUUCGUGAAAACUCACAGCUUAACUGUGGGCGUGCGGGCGAUACGGGCAGACUUGAGUACUGCAGGGGAGACUGGAAUUCCUGGUGUAGCGGUGGAAUGCGCAGAUAUCAGGAGGAACACCGGUGGCGAAGGCGGGUCUCUGGGCAGUAACUGACGCUGAGGAGCGAAAGCGUGGGGAGCGAACAGGAUUAGAUACCCUGGUAGUCC